CAAUAGCGUAUAUUUAAGUUGUUGCAGUUAAAAAGCUCGUAGUUGGAUUUCGGGUGGGACGCAGCGGUCUCGCAUUGCGUUUGUACUGCUGCAGCCCUCCUUCUUGCCGGGGGCGGCCUCUCGGACUUCACUGUCUGGGGGUCAGAAUCGGCGAUGUUACUUUGAGUAAAUUAGAGUGUUCAAAGCAAGCUUACGCUCUGAAUAUAAUAGCAUGGGAUAACACGACAGGGCUCUGGCCUAUCGUGUUGGUCUAUAGGACCAGAGUAAUGAUUAAGAGGGACAGUCGGGGGCAUUCGUAUUCCGUUGUCAGAGGUGAAAUUCUUGGAUUUACGGAAGACGAACAUCUGCGAAAGCAUUUGCCAAGGAUGUUUUCAUUGA
rnacentral:rRNA from 1 species